rnacentral:rRNA from 1 species
GACGAACCGUGCGAACGUUAUUCGGAAUCACUGGGCUUAAAGGGCGCGUAGGCGGGCUGCCAAGUCUGGGGUGAAAUCCUCCGGCUCAACCGGAGAACUGCCUUAGAUACUGGCGAUCUCGAGGAGGGUAGGGGCAUGCGGAACUAUGGGUGGAGCGGUGAAAUGCGUUGAUAUCCAUAGGAACUCCGGUGGCGAAGGCGGCGUGCUGGACCCUUUCUGACGCUGAGACGCGAAAGCGUGGGGAGCAAACAGG